UACGUAGGUGGCAAGCGUUGUUCGGAAUUAUUGGGCGUAAGGGGCGCGUAGGCGGCUUGUUAAGUCAGCUGUGAAAGCCCGGGGCUCAACCCCGGAGGGUCAGCUGAUACUGGCUAGCUAGAGUACGGAAGAGGUAGCUGGGAUUCCCGGUGUAGCGGUGAAAUGCGUAGAUAUCGGGAGGAACACCAGAGGCGAAGGCGGGCUACUGGGCCGAUACUGACGCUGAUGCGCGAAAGCCAGGGGAGCAAACGGG
rnacentral:rRNA from 1 species